rnacentral:rRNA from 1 species
UUGCUCCCGGAUGUUAGCGGCGGACGGGUGAGUAACACGUGGGUAACCUGCCUGUAAGACUGGGAUAACUCCGGGAAACCGGAGCUAAUACCGGAUAGUUCCUUGAACCGCAUGGUUCAAGGAUGAAAGACGGUUUCGGCUGUCACUUACAGAUGGACCCGCGGCGCAUUAGCUAGUUGGUGAGGUAACGGCUCACCAAGGCGACGAUGCGUAGCCGACCUGAGAGGGUGAUCGGCCACACUGGGACUGAGACACGGCCCAGACUCCUACGGGAGGCAGCAGUAGGGAAUCUUCCGCAAUGGACGAAAGUCUGACGGAGCAACGCCGCGUGAGUGAUGAAGGUUUUCGGAUCGUAAAGCUCUGUUGUUAGGGAAGAACAAGUGCAAGAGUAACUGCUUGCACCUUGACGGUACCUAACCAGAAAGCCACGGCUAACUACGUGCCAGCAGCCGCGGUAAUACGUAGGUGGCAAGCGUUGUCCGGAAUUAUUGGGCGUAAAGGGCUCGCAGGCGGUUUCUUAAGUCUGAUGUGAAAGCCCCCGGCUCAACCGGGGAGGGUCAUUGGAAACUGGGAAACUUGAGUGCAGAAGAGGAGAGUGGAAUUCCACGUGUAGCGGUGAAAUGCGUAGAGAUGUGGAGGAACACCAGUGGCGAAGGCGACUCUCUGGUCUGUAACUGACGCUGAGGAGCGAAAGCGUGGGGAGCGAACAGGAUUAGAUACCCUGGUAGUCCACGCCGUAAACGAUGAGUGCUAAGUGUUAGGGGGUUUCCGCCCCUUAGUGCUGCAGCUAACGCAUUAAGCACUCCGCCUGGGGAGUACGGUCGCAAGACUGAAACUCAAAGGAAUUGACGGGGGCCCGCACAAGCGGUGGAGCAUGUGGUUUAAUUCGAAGCAACGCGAAGAACCUUACCAGGUCUUGACAUCCUCUGACAACCCUAGAGAUAGGGCUUUCCCUUCGGGGACAGAGUGACAGGUGGUGCAUGGUUGUCGUCAGCUCGUGUCGUGAGAUGUUGGGUUAAGUCCCGCAACGAGCGCAACCCUUGAUCUUAGUUGCCAGCAUUCAGUUGGGCACUCUAAGGUGACUGCCGGUGACAAACCGGAGGAAGGUGGGGAUGACGUCAAAUCAUCAUGCCCCUUAUGACCUGGGCUACACACGUGCUACAAUGGACAGAACAAAGGGCUGCGAGACCGCAAGGUUUAGCCAAUCCCACAAAUCUGUUCUCAGUUCGGAUCGCAGUCUGCAACUCGACUGCGUGAAGCUGGAAUCGCUAGUAAUCGCGGAUCAGCAUGCCGCGGUGAAUACG